rnacentral:rRNA from 1 species
GGGGCAGCGGCUGUGGUGUGCCGGGACAGGUCAGGCAAAUUUAUAGGGGCAUCAGCGGUUGUUUUUGAUGGUUUGAUCGACCCGUCAAGUUUGGAGGCGCAAGCAUGCAGCGAGGCUCUUGCCCUUGCACGUGACUUGAAUUUGCAGAGUCUCAAGAUCGCUUCGGACUGCUUAGAGGUGAUUACAAACAUCAACAGAGAAGCUUCGCCAGUUUAUGCACCAAUAUUGCAUGAAAUCUAUCUUACUAGGAACCUUUUUACUUCUGUUAUUUUCCGUUUUGAAAGUAGGGAGAAUAAUUUCGAGGCCCACUCGGUAGCAAAAGGAGCCGCGUCUCUGCCGGUGGGUCACCAUAUGUGGCUAGGGGUACUACCAGACAUUGCUUGUAUUCUGGAUAUGAUGAUCCUUGAAUAA